rnacentral:rRNA from 1 species
UUCAUGGAGAGUUUGAUCCUGGCUCAGGACGAACGCUGGCGGCGUGCCUAAUACAUGCAAGUCGAGCGGACAGAUGGGAGCUUGCUCCCUGAUGUUAGCGGCGGACGGGUGAGUAACACGUGGGUAA